rnacentral:lncRNA from 1 species
GAACGAGGCUUGGGCAGAUUAAGUCAGGGGCUCACAGAAGCCCAUAGCAUCUAACCUCACUCUGCUACGACUUCAGCCCGGAGCCUAGAGCCCAGAGAUUCACAAGAGGACACACAGGACCAGCCUUUCUGCAGAUCUCCUUAGAGAAACUGCCCUGGCCACUGGAAGCUGGCCAAGGAUUUGUGUGGUUGAUCCUGGAUUCUGGUCAAAUAUUCCAUCAGACCAAGGUUGAUUUGAGACAACCUGUCCCCUGCACCCCAGUGAGCUAAAUACGACUCCUGCAAGUCAACAUUGGUUAUUUGAGCUUAUGGCAUCUCAGUGACCAAUCUUUUAUUUGAUCAGUAUCCAUCACACAGACACUACGCUCUAAGAAUGCAAGGGAGCAAAGGGCAUGGUCCCUGCCUGCGGUAGAGGAGCUCAGUCCAGCGCGGGAGGAAGCUGAUAAAAGGACAAGGUAGCAAGGGGUCAGGAUGGGAUAUAGGUUCUAACAGGAGGCAGCUGACCCAGAAUUAUAGAAGGUGAUGGAGAUCAGGGGUGACUUCCUGGAGGAGAAGACAUCUCAGCUAAACCUUGAAAGACCGUAGGAAUGUGUAAGAUAGAGAAAGGAGAUAGAGCAUUCUAGAAGAAAUAAAGUCAGCAAAGCCAUGGGAACAUGAAACAGCAUGAUGUGUUCUGGGGACUCGGGACUUGGAUACAGCUGCAGCCUCGAGCGAGAGGAGGAGAGUGGCAGGUGGCCGAGGACAGAGGGAUGCAAGGGCCAAGGGCAGCGGGGAGAGGACCUCAGCUGAAACUGUCCCUUGUAAAGGAGCCUCCUCCUCUUUUCCUGAGUCAGGAUCUUUAUCCUCUCUGUCCACACAACAAAAGGCCACUGAAAGCUGGGAUUACUUUACAAAACAUGGUCAACUUUUCUGUUCCCAGACCGACCCCAGCACUGAAGCCCAAACUGCACAUAACCACCUGCCCAAGCCAGGAGCACAAACUCCCAUAUGAUCCUACUUUCUCUGUGUCCACGAAAAAUCGAAAGGAGUCGCACUGAGAAGCAGGAACACCGAAGUCUGUUGUUCUGCAAUCAGCAUGAAGCUGGUUGAAGCCAUGUGGGGUGAUGGGAAGAGAAUGGUAAUUCUGGUCCUAACUCUGUUACAGCAUCACUGUAGCAUCUCCCAUAAACCAUCUGCUUCUACAUGUAUCCUUCAUCAUCACAAAAUAGACAUCACUCUCUCCACUUUCUGGAAAAGAAAACAAGCCCAGAAGCCCUAGGUAACUAGCUCUAAAUCAUACAUGUUGUGAGUGAGUAAGCCUGCAUGAGAAUUAAAGAUGCAGAUUUCCAAAUCCAUGUCCUUUUCCUAACUAUCUGACUACAACCACCAACUUAACUUCUUUGAUUCUCCAGUUUUUCUAUCUGCAACACGGGAGAGUUAGGCUAGAAAACCUCUACAGCCCCCUUUAUCUCUGGGGUUCUUUGUCUCUUAAAGAUAAGAGGACUAAAACUCCUCUGCCCUUAGGGCUUUCUCAUUCACAAGCCAAUUCAUUAAGCCUUAUCACUGCAGCCAGAAGCCGGAUGGGAAAUGGAGAGACUGACAGCCUUGGAGGAAGAGAGGAAAACAGCUCUCUUUACAUAAUGAUUCCCACUGUGACUUGGUUAUAAAUAACCCACGAAGAAAAUUAGGCUUCUCCUGCGGGCCCAGUCGUGGUGGGUGCUGGGAUACAGGACCGGGCCGUGCAAAUGUUCUAGACUGAUUGGAGAGGAACGGCUACCCAAUUAUCUGGGCUAUAGGUGCUUUGCAUCAGGGCGGUAUCUGGUUGAAGUCAGCUGAGAGGGCACAGUGAACAUCAAAGUUACUUUUAGAAGAUAAAAGACAUGGGCAACCCACCCCAGUGUUAUUGAAAUACCCCAGGGCGCUCCAAUUACUCCCCUCUGUAUCUAGGUCCUGAGAGACUCGUGUGCAAACGCACCAGAUCCACUCCAGCUAAAAUGCCUCCACAGGACCAGAGAGGGGCUCAGGACAAAAAUAGAUCCCAUCUCUUCUCCUUCCAGUGGACUCAGCAGCGUCUAUUGAUCCAGCCAUUCCUUCACUGACUCCACAUCCACUUAUUCAGCCCCUGCUUGGUGUCAGGCACAGGCUGGAGCUCUGGGGACUGUGCAGAUGGAAAUGGAGAACACGGGAGUUCUCAUCAUGGCUCAGAGAAAAUGAAUCUGACUAGUAUUCAUGAGAACACAGGUUCGAUCCCUGGCCUCGCGCAGUGGGUUAAGGAUCUGGUGUUGCCAUGAGCUGUGGUGUAGGUUACAGACGUGGCUUGGAUCCUGCCUUGCUGUGACUGGUGUAGACCAGCAGCUAUAGCUCCAAUUUGACCCUUAGCCUGGGAACCUCCAUAUAUAUGCCGUGGGUGCAGCCCUAAAAAGACAAAAAAAAAAAAAAAAAGAGGAAAAAAAUGAAGAGUAUGAGUUUCCCUUGAGCAGCAAAUAUAUUCCCCUAGAAUAUAUACCCCAAUAGAGGAAGUGCCUUCUUGAGGGGAAGGAGAAGCCUUAUGUUUAGGCAGUGCUUAUUCCACAAUGAGAUAGUUCAUCCCUGAGAGCAAAGACUCAGUCUAUGGCAUGUGCACUAAGUGCCAAGAACUGUGCCCAGCAUCCCGUGAGGCAGGUAUUGCCACCACUUUUCAGAUGUGGAAACAAAGGUUCAGAGAGCAAAGAGACUUACCCAGGGUGACACAGCUAGUGAGUAGCUGAGCCAACAUUUAAGCCCCAGUCUUCUCCUACUUCCAGCCACUCUACUCCACCAUCUGCCUGGAUUAACAGAACUCUUAGCAAUCACCUACACCAGCUCACGAAGCUACAAUAAGAAGCCUGGAUGCUUGGUUCAGAUCUGCUAUUAAGACCCAAGCAUCCUGCUGAUGACGGAUGUCCCGGGUACCAGCACCACAUCUUCCUCUCUCCAGACCCUUGAGCUAAAACAGGGACCCACAUAUUUUUAUUGCACCAUCUUGAUGUCAAUGUUUCUCUUUGCUCCAGCGACAGUAUAAACAAUGAGCACAUGGAGUUCCCAUUAUGGCUCAGUGGAUUAGGAACCUGACCAGUAUCCAUGAGGAUGCAGGUUCGAUCCCUGGCCUCUCUCAGUGGGUUAAGGAUCCAGCAUUGCUGCAAGCUGCGAGCUAGGUCACAGAUGGGGCUCAGACUGUGAAUUGCUGUGGCUAUGGCACAGGCUGGCAGCUGCAGCUCUGGUUCAACUCCUAGCUCAGGAACUUCAGAAAUAUGCUGCAGGUGCCGCUGUGAAAAGGAAAAAAAAAAAUUAGCACACAAUAUUCAACCGGAUGGGCAGCAUUUGAAAAACUCAAAUUAGCAGUAUAAUUGGCCACUCCAGGACAAAACACCAACCCUGGGACGUCUGAGGAGAUUUGCUUACAAAUUUCUCAUGGGUCAGCUAAACGAUAAAUCCAAAUUAUUCAUUUUAAUCUAACUCAUAGUGAAUAUUACUGAUGUAAAUCAUCAAUAAAAAAAUAAAAUUGGCCAUUGCAAAAUUAAAUGCUAAUUUGCUCAAAAUAACUCCCUUCCCCCCAAACCCAGUGGCAGAGGAUAUUGAUGAAAUUUGAUAUGAAGAAAAGAAACUGACUAAUAAAUCAAAUCCCC